rnacentral:rRNA from 1 species
GAUGAACGCUGGCGGCGUGCUUAACACAUGCAAGUCGAACGAAGCACUUUAUUUGAUUUCCUUCGGGACUGAUUAUUUUGUGACUGAGUGGCGGACGGGUGAGUAACGCGUGGGUAACCUGCCUUGUACAGGGGGAUAACAGUUGGAAACGGCUGCUAAUACCGCAUAAGCGCACAGCAUCGCAUGAUGCAGUGUGAAAAACUCCGGUGGUAUAAGAUGGACCCGCGUUGGAUUAGCUAGUUGGUGAGGUAACGGCCCACCAAGGCGACGAUCCAUAGCCGACCUGAGAGGGUGACCGGCCACAUUGGGACUGAGACACGGCCCAAACUCCUACGGGAGGCAGCAGUGGGGAAUAUUGCACAAUGGGCGAAAGCCUGAUGCAGCGACGCCGCGUGAGCGAAGAAGUAUUUCGGUAUGUAAAGCUCUAUCAGCAGGGAAGAUAAUGACGGUACCUGACUAAGAAGCACCGGCUAAAUACG